rnacentral:rRNA from 1 species
GGUGGCUUUGCCUGCUAUCUCUUACCCAUGUCUUUUAAGUACCUUCGUUUCCUCGGCGGGUUCGCCCGCCGAUUGGACAAUUUAAACCAUUUGCAGUUGCAAUCAGCGUCUGAAAAAACUUAAUAGUUACAACUUUCAACAACGGAUCUCUUGGUUCUGGCAUCGAUGAAGAACGCAGCGAAAUGCGAUAAGUAGUGUGAAUUGCAGAAUUCAGUGAAUCAUCGAAUCUUUGAACGCACAUUGCGCCCCUUGGUAUUCCAUGGGGCAUGCCUGUUCGAGCGUCAUUUGUACCUUCAAGCUCUGCUUGGUGUUGGGUGUUUGUCUCGCCUCUGCGUGUAGACUCGCCUCAAAACAAUUGGCAGCCGGCGUAUUGAUUUCGGAGCGCAGUACAUCUCGCGCUUUGCACUCAUAACGACGACGUCCAAAAGUACAUUUUUACACUCUUGACCUCGGAUCAGGUAGGGAUACCCGCUGAACUUAAGCAUAUCAAAGAGC